CUACGGGACGCUCCAGUGAGGAAUAUUGCACAAUGGGGGGAACCCUGAUGCAGCAACGCCGCGUGGAGGAUGACGCAUUUCGGUGUGUAAACUCCUUUUAUAUGUCAAGAAAAUGACGGUAGCAUAUGAAUAAGCACCGGCUAACUCCGUGCCAGCAGCCGCGGUAAUACGGAGGGUGCAAGCGUUACUCGGAAUCACUGGGCGUAAAGGACGCGUAGGCGGGUUGGAAAGUCAGGUGUGAAAUCCUACAGCUUAACUGUAGAACUGCACUUGAAACUUCUAAUCUAGAGUAUGGGAGGGGGAGAUGGAAUUAGUGGUGUAGGGGUAAGAUCCGUAGAUAUCACUAGGAAUACCUAAAGCGAAGGCGAUCUCCUGGAACAUUACUGACGCUAAGGCGUCAAAGCGUGGGGAGCAAACAGGAUUAGAUACCCGAGUAGUC
rnacentral:rRNA from 1 species